UGCCCCAUGGCUGAGUUGGUUACAGCGUCCGACUGUUACAAUAUUUCAACAUUGCCACACCAAUCGGAAGGUCGAGAGUUCGAGCCUCUCUGGGGCAG